CCUACGGGAGGCAGCAGUGGGGAAUAUUGCGCAAUGGGGGAAACCCUGACGCAGCAACGCCGCGUGCGUGAGGAAGUAUCUCGGUAUGUAAAGCUCUAUCAGCGGGGAAGAAGGAAGACGGUACCCGACUAAGAAGCCCCGGCUAACUACGUGCCAGCAGCCGCGGUAAUACGUAGGGGGCGAGCGUUAUCCGGAUUUACUGGGUGUAAAGGGAGCGUGGACGGCGGUGCAAGUCUGAGGUGAAAGCCCGUGGCUCAACCGCGGAACCGCUUUGGAAACUGCGAGGCUGGAGUGCUGGAGCGGUAGGCGGAAUGCCUGGUGUAGCGGUGAAAUGCGUAGAUAUCAGGCGGAACACCGGUGGCGAAGGCGGCUUACUGGACUGUGACUGACGUUGAGGCUCGAAAGCGUGGGGAGCGAACAGGAUUAGAUACCCUAGUAGUC
rnacentral:rRNA from 1 species